GGGAGUUUGGCCGAGUGGUUAAGGCGUUGUGUUUAGGUCAUUCCCCUUCUAAAGGGGAGUACUUGAAACCGCAAUGGGAAACCGCGCAGGUUCGAAUCCUGCAGCUCUCA